GAGGGUAUAGCCCAGUGGUAGAGCACAUGCUUAGCAUGCAUGAGGUCCUGGGUUCAAUCCCCAGUACCUCCA
rnacentral:tRNA from 1 species